UCCUGAAACCGUGUGCCUACAAGUAGUUAGAGCCCGUUAAUGGGUGAUAGCGUGCCUUUUGUAGAAUGAACCGGCGAGUUACGAUUUGUUGCAAGGUUAAGCGGAAAAAGCGGAGCCGUAGCGAAAGCGAGUCUGAAUAGGGCGCAUAAGUAACAGGUCGUAGACCCGAAACCAGGUGAUCUACCCAUGUCCAGGAUGAAGGUAAGGUAAUACUUACUGGAGGUCCGAACCCACGCACGUUGAAAAGUGCGGGGAUGAGGUGUGGGUAGCGGAGAAAUUCCAAUCGAACUUGGAGAUAGCUGGUUCUCUCCGAAAUAGCUUUAGGGCUAGCCUCGAGGUAAAGAGUCAUGGAGGUAGAGCACUGUUUGGACUAGGGGCCCUUCUCGGGUUACCGAAUUCAGAUAAACUCCGAAUGCCAUGUACUUAUACUCGGGAGUCAGACUGCGAGUGAUAAGAUCCGUAGUCGAAAGGGAAACAGCCCAGACCACCAGUUAAGGUCCCCAAAUAUAUGUUAAGUGGAAAAGGAUGUGGGGUUGCUUAGACAACCAGGAUGUUGGCUUAGAAGCAGCCACCAUUGAAAGAGUGCGUAAUAGCUCACUGGUCGAGUGACCCCGCGCCGAAAAUGUACCGGGGCUAAACAUAUUACCGAAACUGUGGAUGAACCUCUUUAGAGGUUCGUGGUAGGAGAGCGUUCUAAGGGCGGUGAAGUCAGACCGGAAGGACUGGUGGAGCGCUUAGAAGUGAGAAUGCCGGUAUGAGUAGCGAAAGAAGGGUGAGAAUCCCUUCCACCGAAUAUCUAAGGUUUCCUGAGGAAGGCUCGUCCGCUCAGGGUUAGUCGGGACCUAAGCCGAGGCCGAUAGGCGUAGGCGAUGGACAACAGGUAGAGAUUCCUGUACCAGUGCUAAUUGUUUAACCGAUGGGGUGACACAGAAGGAUAGGGAAUCGCACGAAUGGAAAUGUGCGUCCAAGCAGUGAGUGUGAGAAGUAGGCAAAUCCGCUUCUCGCGAAGCAUGAGCUGUGAUGGGGAAGGAAAUUAAGUACGGAAGUUCCUGAUUUCACGCUGUCAAGAAAAGCCUCUAGGAAGAGUAGUACUGCCCGUACCGCAAACCGACACAGGUAGAUGAGGAGAGAAUCCUAAGGUGAGCGAGAGAACUCUCGUUAAGGAACUCGGCAAAAUGACCCCGUAACUUCGGGAGAAGGGGUGCUCUAUUAGGGUGCAAGCCCGAGAGAGCCGCAGUGAAUAGGCCCAGGCGACUGUUUAGCAAAAACACAGGUCUCUGCAAAACCGUAAGGUGACGUAUAGGGGCUGACGCCUGCCCGGUGCUGGAAGGUUAAGAGGAGUGCUUAGCUUCGGCGAAGGUACGAAUUGAAGCCCCAGUAAACGGCGGCCGUAACUAUAACGGUCCUAAGGUAGCGAAAUUCCUUGUCGGGUAAGUUCCGACCCGCACGAAAGGCGCAACGAUCUGGGCACUGUCUCAACGAGAGACUCGGUGAAAUUAUAGUACCUGUGAAGAUGCAGGUUACCCGCGACAGGACGGAAAGACCCCGUGGAGCUUUACUGCAACCUGAUAUGGAAUGUUUGUACCGCUUGUACAGGAUAGGUAGGAGCCGAAGAGACGUGUGCGCUAGCAUACGAGGAGGCAAUGGUGGGAUACUACCCUGGCUGUAUGACCAUUCUAACCCGCCACGCUUAGCGCGUGGGGAGACAGUGUCAGGUGGGCAGUUUGACUGGGGCGGUCGCCUCCUAAAGAGUAACGGAGGCGCCCAAAGGUUCCCUCAGAAUGGAUGGAAAUCAUUCGCAGAGUGUAAAGGCACAAGGGAGCUUGACUGCGAGACUGACAAGUCGAGCAGGGACGAAAGUCGGGCUUAGUGAUCCGGUGGUUCCGCAUGGAAGGGCCAUCGCUCAACGGAUAAAAGCUACCCCGGGGAUAACAGGCUUAUCUCCCCCAAGAGUCCACAUCGACGGGGAGGUUUGGCACCUCGAUGUCGGCUCGUCGCAUCCUGGGGCUGUAGUCGGUCCCAAGGGUUGGGCUGUUCGCCCAUUAAAGCGGCACGCGAGCUGGGUUCAGAACGUCGUGAGACAGUUCGGUCCCUAUCCGUCGCGGGCGCAGGAAAUUUGAGAGGAGCUGUCCUUAGUACGAGAGGACCGGGAUGGACACACCGCUGGUGUACCAGUUGUUCCGCCAGGAGCAUCGCUGGGUAGCUAUGUGUGGCAGGGAUAAACGCUGAAAGCAUCUAAGCGUGAAGCCCCCCUCAAGAUGAGAUUUCCCAUUUCUUCGGAAAGUAAGAUCCCUGAAAGAUGAUCAGGUAGAUAGGUUUGGAGUGGAAGUGUAGCGAUACAUGGAGCGGACAAAUACUAAUCGAUCGAGGACUUAACCAA
rnacentral:rRNA from 1 species